CUCGCCCGCGUGAUUCCCUCACCUCUCCUGUGGCUCAGUGGUGCCCAUGCAGAUCAGCAGAGAUGGCAGAAGCUUCUGUGGCUGUUGAGUUACAGGAUCCAUUCCUGGGAAAUGGAAUUCUGUUGCUCUAAGGUCCUCCGAGGGGGAAGGACCAAGCUACAGGACACCAGAAACCCCAUGAUGCAUCCGAAAACAUGAGGCAAAUGCUGAAGGAAAUGCAGCAGGCAGGAGAAGAAGUGGAUGCAGAGGCUGGACAUAAGGCGGCGUUUCCCAGAGGAAGCAGUGGUUCCGUGCCAGCCUCUGCUGCAGGAAGAGAGGCGAUGCCAGGCACAG